AGAAGGGAUAGAGGACUGUGGGGAGAAAAGAUGGAGGGAAGAGUAGAAAGGAUGUAAAAAAAGAGGAGAAGGGAUAGAGGACUGUGGGGAGAAAAGAUGGAGGGAAGAGUAGAAAGGAUGUAAAAAAAGAGGAGAAGGGAUGGGGGACUGUGGGGAGAAAAGUGUGGUGUGUUGUCCUCAUAUGUCAUGUAAUUAACCUUUGCUGUCUGACUGUGCGGCGCUUUGU
rnacentral:lncRNA from 13 species